rnacentral:tRNA from 1 species
GUCUAUAUAGAUUAUUUAUAAAUCAUGAUGCUGUUAACUUCAAGAAAGGGCUGUCCUUGUAGUCG